rnacentral:hammerhead_ribozyme from 1 species
AUCCAGCUGACGAGUCCCAAAUAGAAAGAAAGGCUUGUCCUAGAU